rnacentral:rRNA from 1 species
AAUAACAAUACAGGACUUUUUGGUUUUGUAAUUGGAAUGAGUUAAGUAUAAACCCCUUUACAAGUAUCAAUUGGAGGGCAAGUCUGGUGCCAGCAGCCGCGGUAAUUCCAGCUCCAAUAGCGUAUAUUAAAGUUGUUGCAGUUAAAAAGCUCGUAGUUGGAUUUCUGUUAAUAAUUUAUAUAAAAUAUUUUGAUGAAUACUUAUAUAAUAUUAACAUAAUUCAUAUUACUAUAUAUUUUAGUAUAUGAAAUUUUACCUUGAGAAAAUUAUAGUGCGUA